GGCUCAGGAUGAACGCUGGCGGCAUGCCUAAUACAUGCAAGUCGAACGGGGUGCUUGCACCCAGUGGCGAACGGGUGAGUAACACGUAUCUAAUCUACCUUUUAGUGGGGGAUAACAGUUGGAAACGACUGCUAAUACCGCAUACGACAUCAUUAUCGCAUGAGAAGAUGUUGAAAGGCCCGUUUGGGUCGCUAGAAGAUGAGGAUGCGGCGUAUUAGCUAGUAGGUGGGGUAAAGGCCCACCUAGGCGAUGAUACGUAGCCGAACUGAGAGGUUGAUCGGCCACAUUGGGACUGAGAUACGGCCCAGACUCCUACGGGAGGCAGCAGUAGGGAAUUUUUCACAAUAGGCGAAAGCCUGAUGAAGCAAUGCCGCGUGAGUGAUGACGGUCUUCGGAUUGUAAAGCUCUGUUGUAAGGGAAGAACAGCUAGAAGAGGAAAUGCUUUUAGUUUGACGGUACCUUACCAGAAAGCCACGGCUAA
rnacentral:rRNA from 1 species